CACGUAGGGGCCAAGCGUUGUCCGGAUUUAUUGGGCGUAAAGAGCUCGUAGGCGGCUCGGUAAGUCGGGUGUGAAACCUCCAGGCUCAACCUGGAGACGCCACCUGAUACUGCUGUGGCUAGAGUCCGGUAGGGGAGCGUGGAAUUCCUGGUGUAGCGGUGAAAUGCGCAGAUAUCAGGAGGAACACCGAUGGCGAAGGCGGUUCUCUGGAACGCAACUGACGCUGAGACGCGAAAGCGUGGGGAGCAAACAGG
rnacentral:rRNA from 1 species